AUGGAGUGGAGGAAGCAAGAGAGGCACCCCUCGCAGUUGAGGAUCACGCCGCGGAGACGGGUGAGCUGGCCGCGGGCUUCAGCCCUCAUGAUCUCCGCUGCCGACGGCGGCUGCUUCUUCCUCUUGCACGGCUCGAUCCGGACAUGGUACGGACCGCAUCCUCCACUCCGCCUGCACCAGCCAUCUCCAUCCAUCUCGCCUCCUCCUCCGCCGCCGCCGCCGCCGCCCGCCGGUUUCCCCUUCCCCUUUUCCUCUCUAACUCGUUUCGGAUCUGAGUGGCGGCGCUGGGAACGGGACGCCUGUGCCGAGGAGAAUGGGGAAUGA
rnacentral:rRNA from 1 species